GAGAUCAGUGUAGGUGCAGGCCUAAGGAUAUGGAUUGGGACGCGGCCGGCCGAGACAUUCUGAGAUAACGGAGAUAGAGGGAGAUUUUCUAGGUGAGGCGGUUUUUGUGAACAUGUUUUUAAUGAACCAUAUGCUUUUGAUAAAGUUCCAAUUUACUGGAAGAAAAAGUGAUAAUCUUCAGUAAUCCAAUGGUACAAUUAUACAGUAGACAACAAGCAUUAAAGUACUUAAAUAUGCAUUUUGUAAGGCUCCAAGAAGCGGACAUUGUACUGCACACGUGUGGCUCACAUGUGCAAACACUCACUCUACUUUAUCCUUUAUUUUCUUUCAACCAAUACACACAGACAUAAACACCGACUAACGCACAGUGCCAAUACAUCAAAUCGGGGGUUCAGAUGGUGUAAAUGUUAAGUAAUUAGUGUGGUCCAGUCUUCUCCUGUUGAACUGGACUAUGUUAAAACUGAUCGAUCAUCAGUGAUUACUUUACAUCCUGCUCUCUUUUUCACUCUCGCUAAUUCUUUGUUUUCAGUCCCUCUCUUUCUCAACCUCUGAUCUUUUAAUAAUGCCAAGCUCCAUUUUAGAGCAUCUUUCGUAUAACAAAUGAAUUAAUAGCACAAAACGAAUGAGAAUGAGGGAAAAUAGAAUAGAACAACUAAACAAAUUACGAAAAUAGGACACAUUAGAUUAAACAAUUAAAAGAUGAAAUACAGAGAAUACUGAUGGAACAGGGAACCCUCUGAAUAAUAAUUCUCAUACUAAAUAUCUACUCACAUUUGCAGCAGGUAAGCAAGCUAGCUGUAACUCGGCCACACUGCAGGGAUCUGGUGCUGGGAGCAAGUCUUUCGCUAACAGGCUAGCCAAUUAAACAGCCGGAUCAGGCAGGGAGUCUGGAUGAUCUGUAGUGGUCUAAUGGACAUUCAUUUGUCCAGGAUCAGUACUGGAACCCUCCCACGGAUCGGUACACAGGCGAAUAAAGUUUGAAUGCCAUUUAUUAUUGGCCAGAUUAUACUAUUGGUACUAGUGGUUAAAACCACUUUGUCUUCAUCCCCAGAGCACACAAAAUCUUUUAAUCAUCAUUUUAAUUGAGCAUUUUUUCACAAAUACCUAUCGAUGGUCUGUGACGGUGCCCGGAGCCUUGUAUACAAGCAGCUGUAACAAAACGAAUCCACAACAAAAACAAUAGAUACCAUCUAAUAUGGCGAAGAUCACUUAUCAGCAAUUGGUAUGUGUCCUCACAACAUGCGAUCAGGUAAAGUUAUACUGUCUUGCUUUUUUUUCUGCAGAUCUAGCUUGUAAUGAUCCCAAACUGGGAGUUAUAGAAUUCUUUACACUCCUAAAGAAUUGCUGACAUCCACUCAAGGGGGAAUAUUGCUGCAUUGCUGUAGGGGAGUUGAAGAGAGGCAAGACAACUACGGGCACGAAAACACUUCACUGUCUUUGGAGUACUUUACAUAAACAUGUCCACAGGUUGUUAGGCAACCCUGGAAAUUCAGAGGAGUUUUGAGUUAUAAUCUGCUCAAUUAGCAAUAGAAAUAACUACAUGUAAUACUUUACAUAGAGUAGCCAACCUUUAGAGUGAUAAUCAUUUUACACCAUGGUUUAUUAUGAGAAACCCAGUACCCCGUCCAUACCCCUGGAAAUGUAAAUCUGCAUGUCAUAGGAGGUUGAAAAUAGACGUUGAGCUUUAAGCGCAGUAGACAUGAAACUGCACAGUGAAUGUUUCCCCAGUGAAGACAGAGAUAGCUGUGGUUGUCAAGCAAUGUGCACUCAGCUCAAGAGGGGGCACAAUUGUAAAAGACUAAGAGAGACACACACACACCAUUGCAAACUAGUCAAUUUACUAUUAUGCAUUUCAUUCUAUGAGCACUGCAUAAACUUUACUUACUGUUCUACAAAUUGUUUACAACUAUGCAAAUACAUUUAUUGCCUCUCAUUAUGUAUCUACAUUCAGUUUAUUUAUUUGCAAUCACAUUUAUUUUAGAUUUGAGCCAUAUCUUUCAUCUAUUUCAUGUUUUAAAAAUGAUCUCUUUGCUUCUACUUUGUUUUCAUACAGCAUUUAGCGACCACUCUUAAGAUCCAGAUUGUGCAUUGCCAAUGGCGAUGAGGUGGUGAAGCACAAUCACCUCACGGCAGGGAAAGGUCCUGGGAUUCCACCCGGUGCUGCGGUAUGUGUGGAGUCUGCAUCGGCACGCCGGCUUCCUCCCGCGUUCAAUAGACACACUCCGUGGAUCAGGUCAAAUGGUGGCUCUAUAUUCCCCGUAGGUGUGUGGAUGUGAGUGUGAAUGGUGUUUUGUGUCUGUGUUUGGAGACUGUGUGUGAUAGACCGACGUGAACCGAUGUUCACCCCCCCACAGCCCUCUAUGAAGGAUGAGCGGCUUGUAGAUUAUGGCUGAUUAAUAGUUGCUGUACAUUUGAUAUCAAAGAACUUGACUUGAUGGUUGGCGUGUGUACUUGCGUGUGAAAAAGCGUGUGUUUUAUACUUUUUCUAACUCAAUAGGCCAGUAGGCAACUAAAGGAGGCUUUUCACACAUGGUGGACCACACAGUGGGAGCAGUUAGCGGUUGGGUGUCUUGCUCAGGGACACUUCGACAUGGGACAUGGAGCAGCGGCCAGCCACACACCACGGUGGCAUCAUAAAGCUGUAUGUGUGGACACGGCAGCCCAGGGGGGUUGCAGUCUAGCAGAAAUUGCAGGCAGGGAUAGUGAGGUCCAAUAAUCCCAAUCCCCCAUGAGUCCAGACACUGAUGGAGGUGGUGUAAGGAAUAGCAGCAACCUGAUGACGAACCCGGAACAACGCUGAUGCCAACUGGAGGUGACUGGGGUGGAGGAGGGUCGCUUCAGCUACACGCUGAAAUGACAGCUGACAGCCAACAGAGAGGAGAACACAUUUAAAGAUUGACAGCAACAACGUGAUUGGCUUAAGGAAACCGUGUGUAGAAUCUGAUUGGUUACUAAAAUGUGCACGCCCCCAAUCAGCUGUUACUUAAUUACAAAAGGAGGCGAACAGAGUCAGACUGGUUGUCUUCCUGACUGAACUUGCGAUUAAGCUACAUUAAACAUUUGGCGUAAUUGGCAUUUUUACAGUUUUGUAUGCACCCUUCUCUAAAGGACCAAAACCCGAAUUCCACUUUUUUACUACACUUUAUUCAAGUGUAGUAAAGACAUGAUUGUUUGUGUGUAUCUGUGUGUCUGUUUCAAUUGUAUCCUCGGCGUCCUGCCUGCCUCCGACUGCGUUGCAUUGUUUGCACAACCAACCCCACAUCAAAGUGAACUGCACCCGCGAGGACAUAUUUAAAAAUCAAUGCGAUCUUGGAAGUCGCUAAAAAAUUUAUAUCAUUCACUUGCACUCUUUAGCACACACGCCUAAACACACGCACACACACAAGUGAGCACAACUUCAAUAUCACUUACAACUCACCAACGAGAAGCUGCGUUGUUGCCUGAUGUCUGAGAGAGCAGCGGCGGUGGCUCAAUAGCUCUGCGGCUGGAGGAUCAAACAACACGUGGCCCCACAUGUUUCUUCGUGUUCCACAGGUCAUCCAUCAUCUGUGAUCACUCACGCUAGCAUGUUUGAAUCAUGCAUCGCGAGGGCAGCGAGGCAAGAUGUACUCACGCACCGUUAAAAGGCUGACAUUUGUGUAUUAAUUGCCUGCGAUUCA